GGGGCUGACUUGGAUUCGACAGCAGGUGAAAGUGGUAUGUAAGCAUGCAGAGCUCAGGAAUUCCGGCUCUUUAAUCUCGGGUUUCAACUUUUUAAUUGGCGAAAAUAACUACGCUCUUGCAGCUUAAUCGAAGUAUAGUAGAUAGGCUUUAUUCUGGUAUUAGAUACUGGAACAAGACAUCUCCCAGAUGCUAACGUCCUGAAGCGGUCUGAUAGUGAGGUGCAAGUAAAUCGGGAAUCGACUUUAAUUUUCUUCGGGUUAAAGUUUAAAUUUUAGAAGAUAAGGUAAAGGUCGGUGGCUUUGAUCCAGCUUUUGCACGAAAAUUAAGUCAAAGCUAAGCAUGUAGAAAGCAUAUGGCUUCCUUGACUGGACGAGGGUUCGAAACCCUCCAGCUCCACAC
rnacentral:tmRNA from 1 species